rnacentral:lncRNA from 1 species
CCCUCCAUCCUGUCGACACCAGCAAGUUGGGCUGCUAUCAAUCAAUUAAUCCCAGCCUACAUAGAGAUCAGCCAACUUCUUGCCCUAUUGAGAAUAGUGCCAGUCUCAUCUAUAUCCCCCUCUUGUUUUCUUUUGAAAAGUCAAAAAGUUCUCCUCUCACAACACCCACACACACAACCAACCACACACACACACACAACACACACAACCACACACAAACACAACACACACAACACACACAACCCACACAAACACACACACAACCCACCCACCAAACACACACAACACAACCACACACACACAACCAACACACACACACACACAACCAACACACAACCACACACACAACCAACACAACACACAACACAACACACACACAACCACACACACACACACCCACACACACACACACACACAACCACACACACACACACAAAACCACCACCACAACCCAAACAACACACACACACACACAACCACAACAACACACACACAACCACACACACAACACAACCACACCAAACACACAACCACACACACCACAAACCACACCCACACACACAACCACACAACCACACACACAACACACCCCACACACACAACCACAACACACACACACACAACCACACAACCAACACACACACACCACACACACACACACCACACACACAACCACACCCACACAACACACACACAACCACCACACACACAACAAAACACACCAACACCCACACACACAACCACACCCACACACACAACCACACCCCACACACACAAACCACACCCACAAACACAACCACAACCCACAACACCACAACACACCCACACACACAACCACACACACACACACAACCACAAACCCACACACACAAACCAACACCCANNNNNNNNNNNNNNNNNNNNNNNNNGAGAGAGAGAGAACAGAGAGAGAGAGAGAGAGAACAGAGAGGAGGAGAGAGAGGAGAGAGGAGAGAGAUACAGGAAGAGAGAAGCGAGGUAACAUAGAGAGAGAGAUAAGAGAGAGAGAUAGCAGAAGAAGAGAGAAGAAGAGAUAACAGAGAGAGAGAGAGAGAGAGAUACAAGAGAGAAGAGAGAGACAGAUAAGAGAGAGAUUAGAGAGAGAGAGAGAUAUACAUAGAAGAGA